rnacentral:lncRNA from 1 species
GACGAUUCCUCUUCCCUAAGAAACCUGCUAAAGCUAGAGCUGAACCUGAAGCCCUCUUGCUAUGAGGAGGCUGCUGACAGUGCCUGUCUUUCCUCCUUACAGCACUACUAUCUCGCCACCUCCGCUGCCCCUCCAGCCUACCCCCAGCUCUGAAACCACCAAGCCCUUUGUCAAGUCCUCACACCAACUCCAGCAGCAGGACCCUGUGGGGCCUACCAGCAGCUCAGCGCCUUCACUGGGCCUCCUCCCUGCCAUCACUGCCUCUAUUGUGGCCCCCUUCUUACUACACACCUUUGGGCCUUCCUGACCUCAACCACCCUCGCAGAGAAGCCAGAGAAACCACAGGAGUCUGUGGCCAUGUCCACCAUCUGACCCCACCUCAGAGGGUGCUAACACCUCAAGGCAGGUCACAAAGGACAGGGACCUUAGAACAUUAGAGCUUUAUUGUACUCAAGUUACAUCUUCUUUUUUGUAGAAGGUCUUAAUUUCCCAUAGUGCUAUGGGGCUCUUUUGUAAAAUAUGUGUCCAUAUUAAAAAAGAAAA